rnacentral:rRNA from 1 species
UAAUACGGAGAGGGCAAGCGUUGCCCGGAAUCACUGGGCAUAAAGCGCACGUAGGCGGAUUGAAAAGUCGGUUGUGAAAGCCCGGGGCUCAACCCCGGAAUUGCUUCCGAAACUUUCAGUCUAGAGGACGAGAGGGGAGAGUGGAACUUCUGGUGGAGCGGUGAAAUGCGUAGAUAUCAGAAGGAACACCGGUGGCGAAAGCGACUCUCUGGCUCGUAUCUGACGCUGAGGUGCGAAAGCAUGGGUAGCGAACGGGAUUAGAUACCCCGGUAGUCCAUGCCGUAAACGAUCGGCACUAAGCAGGGGGGAUUCUGACAUUCUCUCUGCCGUAGCUAAUGUGUUAAGUGCCGCGCCUGGGGAGUACGGUCGCAAGGCUA